rnacentral:rRNA from 1 species
GACGUAGGGCGCGAGCGUUGUCCGGAUUUAUUGGGCGUAAAGCGCUCGUAGGCGGCUCGUUGCGUCGGCUGUGAAAACCCGCAGCUCAACUGUGGGCUUGCAGCUGAUACGGGCGGGCUGGAGUUCGGUAGGGGAGACUGGAAUUCCUGGUGUAGCGGUGAAAUGCGCAGAUAUCAGGAGGAACACCGGUGGCGAAGGCGGGUGUCUGGGCCGAUACUGACGCUGAGGAGCGAAAGCGUGGGGAGCGAACAGG